AUGUUAAGGUAUCUAUUUAUGUUACUACUCUGAUCUUCUCACUCUUUUUUAAUUGUCUGUUCGUAUUUGCUAGUGGCAAAUACAUAAUAUUAUGCCUUAUCCGUGGCAAGCACUGCGUGGAGGCUAUCCAUGCCUGACGGGCCCACAGAUCCUCUCUGGCUUAAACUAUGGCGCGCGCGCCCCUCGCGCCUCGAAAGCGACACACACGGAACCCCACACCAGCACGCGAAGUAAGCAUCGCAGCUGCUCCGGCAAGCUCCCACGCCCAUGGCCACCGUCGCCGCGGCGCCGUUACAGGAGGCGCCCGACGACGUCGUGGACGAGAUCCUGCUCCGCCUGCCGUGCCCCUCAUCGCUCGUGCGCGCCGCCGCGGCCUGCGCCUCCUUCCGCGUCCUCGUCUCCUCCCCGCGCUUCCUCCGCCGCCACCGCGCGCUCCACCCGGGCGCGGCGGCGCCCUUCCUCGGGGUCUUCUCCUCGGCCCCCGCGCCCGGCGGGUCGGGGGGCGCCUUCCACCCCUCCGACCCGCCCCACCCGGCCGCUGCGGCCGCGCGCGACGUCGCACGGGCCGCGGACUUCUCCUUCGCGUUCCUCCCCGCGCCGCCCGACGCCGCCACGGGCGCCGAGCGCCCCGGUUGGCUCGUCCGGGACUACCGCGACGGGCGCUUUCUCCUCGACCGGGCGUCCUCCUGCUCCACCUUCGACAGCGCCAUCGUCACGGAUCUCGCCGUCUGCGACCCCGUGUCCCGCCGCUACGUCCUGCUCCCGCCCAUCCCGGAGGACCUCGCCGCCAGCGCAUACAACCCGCUCGGCGUCCUCGGCGGCCGGCGCUGGUGCGAGCCCUUCCUCGCGCCGGCCGACGCCGAGGGGGGCAGGGACGAGGAGGAGGAGCCCUCGUUCGUGGUGAUCUGGACGGCGCGGUGCCCGAGGAAGGUCGUGGCGCUCGCCUUCUCGUCGUGGGACGGGCGGUGGCGCGCGCUCCCGUCGCCGGACUGCUUCGUCUGAGGCGCCACCGGUCGCCCUUCUCCUGCCCGGUGCACGCGGUCUGGAACCGGCGGCACUACGCGCACGGCCGCUUCUACUGGGCGGACUGCCUCACCAACCGCUGGCUGGUGCUCGACGUAGGCGCCAUGGAGCUAUCCGUGCAGGAGGUCCCGGCGCCGGCCAGGUUCUGGGAGGAGAACGUCGCCGUCGUGGAAGGCGCGGACGGCGCGGUCGGCGUGUUCGCGCACGACUUCUACCACGCCAACGGCAACGCCAGCCUCAGCUACUACACGAUCCCGCGCGACGCCGACGGCGCGGCGACGUCGUGGCGGCUCGAGAAGACGAUCCCGCUGCCGUGGUCGACGGCGCACGGGCGGCCGUUCUGCAUUCGCGGCGCGGCCAACGGGUGCUUGAUCAUCGAAGUCAACCAAGACUCGCCGCAGCCGUUCAUGUCGUCGAGCCACGACAGCCGGGACGUCGAGCUGUUUAAGAUCGACGUCGGGCGUCUAGAGCUGGAGAGAGUCUGCCGGGCGCGGUGCUCCGGCGGCGUCAGCGACGGCUGGUGGCCGUACUUUGGCUUCCCGCCGUUGCUGAGCCUGCCAACUGUUUGAGUGGCAUCGCCAAAUACCUCAGGAAAUUCCGCAGCAUCGCCAUGUAAGCCUCGAAGGAGUGUAGUGGUGUGGCACAUGAAUGUAACUGGAGGGGGCAGGUUGUAUUGGUUUUUGUGUAUAAGCAUUUUCAGAAAUACAGUUACAGUGCAGGUGUACAGCAAACCGAAA